rnacentral:rRNA from 1 species
UACGGGGGGAGCAAGCGUUGUUCGGAUUUACUGGGCGUAAAGGGCGCGUAGGCGGCCUGUGCAAGUCAGUUGUGAAAUCUCCGAGCUUAACUCGGAACGGUCAACUGAUACUGCUCGGCUAGAGUGCGGAAGGGGCAACUGGAAUUCUUGGUGUAGCGGUGAAAUGCGUAGAUAUCAAGAGGAACACCUGCGGCGAAGGCGGUUCUCUGGGACGGUACUGACGCUGAGACGCGAAAGCGUGGGGAGCGAACAGG